rnacentral:rRNA from 1 species
UACGUAGGGGGCUAGCGUUAUCCGGAAUUACUGGGCGUAAAGGGUGCGUAGGUGGUUUCUUAAGUCAGAGGUGAAAGGCUACGGCUCAACCGUAGUAAGCCUUUGAAACUGGGAAACUUGAGUGCAGGAGAGGAGAGUGGAAUUCCUAGUGUAGCGGUGAAAUGCGUAGAUAUUAGGAGGAACACCAGUUGCGAAGGCGGCUCUCUGGACCGUAACUGACGCUGAGGCACGAAAGCGUGGGGAGCAAACAGGAUUAGAUACCCGCGUAGUCCCUGAGCGGG